rnacentral:rRNA from 1 species
UGGGGAAUUUUCUGCAAUGGGCGAAAGCCUGACGGAGCAAUGCCGCGUGGAGGUGGAAGGCCUACGGGUCGUCAACUUCUUUUCUCGGAGAAGAAACAAUGACGGUAUCUGAGGAAUAAGCAUCGGCUAACUCUGUGCCAG